UACAGAGGUCUCAAGCGUUGUUCGGAUUCAUUGGGCGUAAAGGGUGCGUAGGUGGCGGGGUAAGUCAGGUGUGAAAUCUCGGAGCUCAACUCCGAAACUGCACUUGAUACUGCCUUGCUCGAGUACUGGAGAGGAGAUUGGAAUUUACGGUGUAGCAGUGAAAUGCGUAGAUAUCGAGAGGAACACCGGUGGCGAAGGCGGCCAACUGGACGAGUACUGACGCUGAGACACGAAAGCGUGGGGAGCAAACAGG
rnacentral:rRNA from 1 species